rnacentral:lncRNA from 1 species
GGAGUUGGGAGGUCCUUCUUUUACUUGUAUUGCAUGCUCUUCAUAUAUAUGAUUGUUCUUCGGGUCCAAUCGAGGCGCCACAGAAUUCGCCCUUCCUUAGCUCAAGAAAGUGACAGUAUCUGUCACGGCAUCCAGAUAAAAGGUCCAAAGGCAAUACUUGGAUAAUAAGUUGAUAGCACGAGAAUCUUGUUUCUUCGGUGAAAAGGGAAAUAGAAUAAACUUCUAUCGUCUGAGUUUCCCAAAGGAAAGAAUGACAUGCUGCCCAUCUAAACCCGAAACUGAGACACACAUCCCCUUCAAUGGGAAGCAAGUUCUAAGUAGUCCAGUAAAAACACGGAAAAGGUAUUUGCCUUAGACCACAUUUCGGUUUGGAGAUCAUUGUCAUUCCAAAGGAGGGAGGUUGAGAUCAUUGUCAUUGUAGGAAAGAAGGAAGCAAGCACACACCUAAUAAGAUGACGUAGAGAUAAGCAGUGAGAAAGGAAGGACUAAUCAAUCUAGAUCAAUUAACGGAAGUUGCAGCUCU